GAUGAACGCUGGCGGCGUGCCUAAUACAUGCAAGUCGAGCGAACAGAUGAGGCGCUUGCUCCUCUGACGUUAGUGGCGGACGGGUGAGUAACACGUGGAUAACCUACCUAUAAGACUGGGAUAACUUCGGGAAACCGGAGCUAAUACCGGAUAAUAUAUUGAACCGCAUGGUUCAAUAGUGAAAGACGGUUUUGCUGUCACUUAUAGAUGGAUCCGCGCCGCAUUAGCUAGUUGGUAAGGUAACGGCUUACCAAGGCAACGAUGCGUAGCCGACCUGAGAGGGUGAUCGGCCACACUGGAACUGAGACACGGUCCAGACUCCUACGGGAGGCAGCAGUAGGGAAUCUUCCGCAAUGGGCGAAAGCCUGACGGAGCAACGCCGCGUGAGUGAUGAAGGUCUUCGGAUCGUAAAACUCUGUUAUUAGGGAAGAACAAAUGUGUAAGUAACUAUGCACGUCUUGACGGUACCUAAUCAGAAAGCCACGGCUAACUACGUG
rnacentral:rRNA from 1 species